CAGCUCUCAAAGUGGCUGUUAUGUGUUGACUAAAUGAUUCAUAUCACAGCCAGCUUUGAUGAGCUGGA
rnacentral:pre_miRNA from 1 species